CUCUCUCUCUCUCUCUCUCUGCUGCUGCAGCUGCUACAACCUGAUCUUCCAGUUCAUGGCUGCCGCUACCUCCACGAGUUGCACAGGCUUUUUCAAUUUCCGUUCAAAUUCCGACGAAGGCAGGGUCCGGCCUUCAUCGACCCAUGGCUCACCUGGGUGUGGAAAGCUUGAUGGGGUGGCUAUGUGGUUCAUCAAUGGUGUGGCAAGUGCAUUUUUUGCAUCCUUAGAGAGAUGUUCUUGCAUCCGUAUCGCCACCGAAGACGACGGCGAUGAGGCUAACGACGCACCCUUGAUUAUGAACGAUGGAAACUUGAGGCAUGACGGUGGCACCACCAGCAGCAGGAGAAGGACAGGGAAAGGCAAGAAACAGAGCACUGGAGCAUUUGAUGAGUACUAGCUAAUUUGGUUGGCCAAGCCAAAGUUGUUUUGGUAAGUUAAUUAUGGGGUUUUGGGAUGGUGUGAGAUUUGGUCUUUAAUCUUUUGGAAGAGGUUGCAAGUGGUAAUUAAACAAAAAGGGAGUUACAUGUUUGAUGGGUUUGAAUCUCUUAUGCAUAUGAUCAAAUGAAUUGAAUCAAUUUAAUAAAUAUUUUCAUAAAUUACUCAAAUGAAGUUUCGUUAUUUGCAGGCUUUUGGGUUUUUGAAUUGGUAAAAUUUAGGUCUAUAAUCUUUACAUUUUAGCUUUUGGAAGCUAGUUUGGUUUAUGGGUAUCUAAAAAGCUUUUUAGCCCAAUGCCAAUCAGCUAAAGACUGCUAGGAUUUGAAGAUUAAAGAUUAAUUCUAUAUUUCACAUGAUAGGUAAAAUGUUUAAUUUAGUCCUUG
rnacentral:misc_RNA from 1 species